rnacentral:RNase_P_RNA from 1 species
GAGGAAAGUCCGAGCUCCACAGGGCAGUGUGCCGGAUAACCUCCGGCGAGGGUGACCUUAGGGACAGUGCUAUAGAAAUUUAAACCGCCGAUUUCUGAUCGGUAAGGGUGGAAAGGUGCGGUAAGAGCGCACCAGCAGUCGGGUGACCGGCUGGCUUUGGUAAACCCCACAUGGAGCAAGACCAAAUAGGGAAGGGCUAAGACGGCCCGUCGACCUUCCGGGUAGUGUCGCUCGAGGCGUCCGGCAACGGGCGUCCCAGAUAAAUGAUUGUCGCCGCCUCUAUGGCGGAACAGAACUCGGCUUA